CCAGUCGUGGUGCAGUGGCACAAAGUGUGACUGUAAAACCCAUUGGUUGUGGGUUCGAUCCCCACUCGAAUAGA
rnacentral:tRNA from 1 species